GCCCAGGUGGCGAAAUUGGCAGACGCGCUAGGUUGAGGGCCUAGUGACCUUUAAAAGUCGUGUGGGUUCGAGUCCCACCCUGGGCACCA
rnacentral:tRNA from 1 species